GAUUUUUGAUUUACAAUACAUUUUUCAAAUACAGAAAAAGGAAGUACAAUAACAAAAGACUCGACAUUACUGUACAAAACUAGAAGGUAAAGGACGACAUAAAAAGAACAACAGACUCGAAAUAUAAUAACUAAAAAAAAUCUCCUUAAGCAAACUCCUGAAUGAGCGACCCUGACUGGAUGGUCCUAGGGUGUCUGUCAUGCCCAAACUCCGGUAAGUAGAUCCACACCUGUAUGAGAAAAUUAAGACCAAAUAAGGUUAAAGACCUAGAACACUAUGUGAGACGAUAACCCUUCUUGUUGGACAUAUGCAAGACAUGAUUGUGACUAUUUUUCUAAAAUUAAUCUAUGUGGCUAAAAGUGGCUAAAAAUAUAAGAUUUGGCUAAGACCCCGCGAAGCCAAUAACCUAAAACUUACUAAGAAGAACGAACCCUAUGUGGGUUGCCUACGUAUCCCGCCCCGAGAGACGAGAAUCAGGUUCGCGUAGUUCAGGCAGAUUGGAUACGGGCAGGAAUUUAAAAAAAUAACUGAUUUAGAAAAAUAUAUUUUUGUCUUUUUUUGAGAAAUGAUGAAACAUGUAAAAAAAAUUUGGAUUUUCUUUUCCUUUUUUUUUUUGAUUUUUUGGAAAAUGAUGGGAAAAUGCAAAAUCUUUAUGGAAUUUUCAUAUUCAAAUUUUUUCUUAAAAAAAUGUGAAAGAAAAAACAUAAGUAGGCCCUACUUGCUUUAUUUUCACACUUCGCCCUCUUUUUCUUUUUCUUUUUUCAUUUGCCCUCACCUAUCAUUGGUCCGCGAAAUGACCCUUUUACCUUUGAAGAUUGCAACAUGUAGCACAUAGGAUGCAUCAGGAUGGUCUUUUAUUUUUGGGUACACCUGUUCUAGACGGACCCAACCCCUGUGUUGAGUCCCCAAAGUCAAAUGCACGUGAUGCAAACAAACGUUCCUACAUGAGGUUGUGUUAUUCUAAGUUCAAACCUGGGUGUGUUCUUGACCUGGCUUACCCGAGCGGACAACUCGAGCCGAAGAGGGGGCAACGUACCGGGAGCACAAAAGUCUACCCGGCCUUAUUGCUAGCCCAACCUCGUUCUAUUUGGUAUAAUUUCUAAUAGAAAAAGUGGGCCACGCGAACGUGUGCACCAUUUUUUGAAGACUCAGAAGGGAGGCAUAAGAAGACAUUUUAAUACAAUUCAAAUAAUAUUGAAAUGAUAAAUAAACAACAAUUAGUACAUUAGGUUCACAAAUACAGUAAUAUCAACAAACAAUAAAGCCAAGCAUAGAUCAUAUUAACAAGCUCAAAUUCUUGAACCCUGAACCAAAAGUUCUGGGUUCUUAUCCCCAACAAAGUCGCUAGAGCUGUCACACCUCCUUGUUAUUACCCCCUAGAGGGGUAUGAGGGACUUUUUCCCAUUUAAGUGACAAUCGAAACGAGAUUAUUUAUUUAAAAUCAGAGUCGUCACUUAAGAUAAUUUAUGGUGUCCCAAGUCACCAAUUUGAAAUCCCGAAUCGAGGAAGUUUGACUCUAUUUACGGUCUGCGAACACAAAAAUCCGGGUAAGGAAUUCUGUUAACCCGAGAGAAGGUGUUAGGCAUUCCCGAGUUCCGUGGUUUUAGCACGGUCUCUUUGAUCAUACUUGGCUUAAACAAAAUGUCUAAUUACUUAUUUUAGAACCUAUGUGCAUUUGCCCCUUUUUUAUUAAGAAAUUAUCUUGAAACAGGUCACGUGCACGUGUACCCGUUUGUUUGGCGCAUCAAAAUCAUGUCACGCGAACGUGUCCACAAUUAACAACAUUUUUUUAUUAUUAAGAAUGUUUGGUCGAAGUUGCGCGAACACAUAUCCCGAUUUUAUUUUUUUAAGAUCGUAAUUAUGUCACGGGAACAUGUACAUAACCAUGAUCGUAUAUUAAAUGUGCCUAAAGCAAGCUACGGAUAUUAAUGUUUAUCUAGCAGCUCAAAGUCUUUGGAAUUAUCAAGCCCAAAUACCAAGACCCCAAUACUGUUUUGAAUCACUAACAUUUCAAUUAACACCCAACAACACACAUUACAUUUUUCAAGAUCAAAUCUCCAUGACAUUUCGAACAACAACGCAUUCUUCUUCUUUAUGGAAUCAAACUAGAUUCAAACCAAACUAACUGCAUGAUCGGUCUAGUAAUGUCACCACAAGACAAUUAGAUAUCAAAUUAUGGAAUCAUAGCACACAAGAAUAAUCAAACCCAAAUAACAAGAAAAAGUAAAGCAAACAUGAUAUGAUCCAUGAAUGUGUAAAGAAAAUCUUCACAAAUAAUUAGAACACUAACAUUAAGGAGAAAGAAGAGAUGAACCUUUAAUGGUCUUUAACGAUUUCUGUUUGGAAAUACAAGUAAAAGCCGGCGACCGGAGACCUCAACGAAAACCUCGACGCACCUCAUCGUCAAUUCGAACAGAAUUAAUGACCAACGAACGGACCUCAAAUCAACUCUGUCGAGGUGUAAAAUGGGAACCGGUCAGAUCUUCAACGGCAAGCCUUGGUAGUGGUGGCUAGAGACGGGUCUACCCGGCUGGUGGUUGGUGACGAAGUGGUUGCUCGUUCUCUGAAAGUGUGGAGUUGUCGUUUGGUUUCAAGAGGAGAUUUGGGAGGGCUGGAUUGUUGGUUGGUUGAAGAAAAAGCAGAACGGCGAAGGAUGAAGAAGCAGUAGCAGCUUUCGAAGAAGAAGGAGUAGCAGCUUUUGAAGAAGAAGGAGCUCAAGAGUUUUUGUAGAUCUUUUUCCAAUAAAAAAACCGGCUGAGCAUUAGGUCUUUUGGUUAGCUUCUUCAUUUUUGUGUCCAAAACGACUAACUUCUCACCCUGUUAGGUUCUGAUGUGUUCUUUCUUCGUUCUUCAUGAAGAAGAAGAAGAUAUGUUUUUUGUUUUUUCCUUUUUUCCACCCAGAAAACGGCUCCCCUUAGGGUGUAUAUGUCUAAGAUCUUAGGCGUAUUUUUUGUGUAUUUUCAGCUCCUAGGGAUCUUAGGCAUUUU
rnacentral:lncRNA from 1 species